rnacentral:rRNA from 1 species
GAUUAACGCUGGCGGCGUGCCUAACACAUGCAAGUCGAACGAGGUAGCAAUACCUAGUGGCAGACGGGUGAGUAACGCGUGGUCAACCUACCGUUGAGUGGGGGAUAACUAGCCGAAAGGUUAGCUAAUACCGCAUACGUCUCCGAGGGGCAUCCCUUGGCGAUAAAAGGAGCAAUCCGCUCGAUGACGGGACCGCGUCCCAUUAGCUAGAUGGUGGGGUAACGGCCUACCAUGGCACCGANGGGUAGCUGGUUUGAGAGAGCGACCAGCCACACUGGGACUGAGAAACGGCCCAGACUCCUACGGGAGGCAGCAGUGAGGAAUUUUCCGCAAUGGGCGCAAGCCUGACGGAGCGACGCCGCGUGUGGGAAGAAGGCCU